rnacentral:rRNA from 1 species
AUGGGUGCCUUCGCUGACUAUCAAGUCGACUGCAGGAGGUAUGUCCCAUCUUAUUCUGGUUGCAAGGAUGUGAGCAAGGUGGUUGAGAUGGAGGUGUCACUCAUGUACGACGUGUUAUACACCAAGGCAAGCGUGAUCCACACAUGGGGUGGCUACAUCAUCCGUCUGGUCUCGCCGCCCGCCACCGCCACGGCGCUCUAUCUCUUCCACAGUAAAGACGGCCAGGCGAUGGAGAGUGCAGAUCGGGCGAUCACAUACACCUUGCUUGCUGGUACCUUGUUGUUGGAUGUGAGAUGGCUGCUCAGAGCACUAGGGUCCACCUGGACCUAUGCAUUCUUGCCUGAUAGUACAGAUCAGGAGGAUGGAAGCAAACAAGGGCUGCUUCUGGGUCGCCUCCGCUGGAACCUCCUGGCCAGUUUGCUGCGGCUGGGCCGCCUCAAGAAGGCAGGUCGUCGUCGCUCGGCAGUCGGACAGCACAACUUGUUGCAAGAGUGCAGUGCUCAGGGUGGACUGGAGAAGAUGAUCUCUUAUUUUUGCGCUGGACACGGGAAGAAGAAGGUUGAUGUCAAGGAUGUCUUGUUGGAAGUUAUGUGUACAUAUCUAGUGCUGGAAUUGGAGACAAUGGCUUGCAUGCGUCCCACGGGGGAAGUUGAUGAUUAUAUGAGGACUAAUAGCAAGAAAUUAAAUUUCCAAAAGAACAUCAUUGCGCUGCACGUCGCCACGGACAUUUUCCUCUUGUGCAGGACAAAGUCCCAAAGGAGAGAAAGUAGAGCAUCAGCCAAAGACGAGAAGAAGAUCCGAGCGCUGUCAAAUUACAUGAUGUUCCUCCUCGCGCAACACCAGCACAUGGUAUUGCCACCAGGUGACGAGGCCGGCGACUACAAAAAGGCCUGCCUCGAUUUGAAGGAAAUAUGGCGUGAAAGGAGGAGCCAGCGGUUCUCUAACAACCCCAAGAGAGACCGAGCUUGCCAACAUCCUUCUGAAGAUGAAUGCAACCGAGGGCAGUAG